rnacentral:rRNA from 1 species
GACGAACGCUGGCGGCGUGCUUAACACAUGCAAGUCGAACGGAAAGACCCUGCUUUUGUGGGGUGCUCGAGUGGCGAACGGGUGAGUAACACGUGAGUAACCUGCCCUUGACUUUGGUAUAACUUCAGGAAACUGGGGCUAAUACCGGAUAGGAGCUCCUGCUGCAUGGUGGGGGUUGGAAAGUUUCGGCGGUUGGGGAUGGACUCGCGGCUUAUCAGCUUGUUGGUGGGGUAGUGGCUUACCAAGGCUUUGACGGGUAGCCGGCCUGAGAGGGUGACCGGCCACAUUGGGACUGAGAUACGGCCCAGACUCCUACGGGAGGCAGCAGUGGGGAAUAUUGCACAAUGGGCGGAAGCCUGAUGCAGCAACGCCGCGUGCGGGAUGACGGCCUUCGGGUUGUAAACCGCUUUCGCCUGUGACGAAGCGUGAGUGACGGUAAUGGGUAAAGAAGCACCGGCUAACUACGUG